GAUGAACGCUGGCGGCGUGCCUAAUACAUGCAAGUCGAGCGAACGGACGAGAAGCUUGCUUCUCUGAUGUUAGCGGCGGACGGGUGAGUAACACGUGUAUAACCUACCUAUAAGACUGGGAUAACUUCGGGAAACCGGAGCUAAUACCGGAUGAUAUUUUGAACCGCAUGGUUCAAAAGUGAAAGACGGUCUUGCUGUCACUUAUAGAUGGAUCCGCGCUGCAUUAGCUAGUUGGUAGGGUAACGGCUUACCAAGGCAACGAUGCAUAGCCGACCUGAGAGGGUGAUCGCCCACACGGGAGGGGGGCCGGGGUCAGGACCACUACGGGAGGCAGCAGUAGGGAAUCUUCCGCAAAGGGCGAAAGCAUGGCGGAGCGGCGCGGCGUGAGUGAUAAAGGUCUUCGGAUCGUAAAACUGUUUUAUUGGGGAAAAACAUAUGUGUAAGUAACUGUGCACAUCUUGACGGUACCUAAUAAGAAAGCCACGGCUAACUACGUG
rnacentral:rRNA from 1 species